rnacentral:rRNA from 1 species
GACGAACGCUGGCGGCGUGCUUAACACAUGCAAGUCGAACGGAAAGGCCCUGCUUUUGUGGGGUGCUCGAGUGGCGAACGGGUGAGUAACACGUGAGUAACCUGCCCUUGACUUUGGGAUAACUUCAGGAAACUGGGGCUAAUACCGGAUAGGAGCUCCUGCUGCAUGGUGGGGGUUGGAAAGUUUCGGCGGUUGGGGAUGGACUCGCGGCUUAUCAGCUUGUUGGUGGGGUAGUGGCUUACCAAGGCUUUGACGGGUAGCCGGCCUGAGAGGGUGACCGGCAACAUUGGGACUGAGAUACGGCCCAGACUCCUACGGGAGGCAGCAGUGGGGAAUAUUGCACAAUGGGCGGAAGCCUGAUGCAGCAACGCCGCGUGCGGGAUGACGGCCUUCGGGUUGUAAGCCGCUUUCGCCUGUGACGAAGCGUGAGUGACGGUAAUGGGUAAAGAAGCACCGGCUAACUACGUG